rnacentral:rRNA from 1 species
GAUGAACGCUAGCGGCAGGCUUAACACAUGCAAGUCGAGGGGCAGCGCGAUGUAGCAAUACAUUGGCGGCGACCGGCGCACGGGUGCGUAACACGUAUGGAACUUACCCUUUACUGGGAGAUAGCCCGGAGAAAUCCGGAUUAAUAUCCCAUAAUAAACGAGGUGGCAUCACUUUGUUUUGAAAGCUCCGGCGGUAAAGGAUGGCCAUGCGCACGAUUAGCUAGUAGGUGAGGUAACGGCUCACCUAGGCUACGAUCGUUAGGGGGCCUGAGAGGGUUAUCCCCCACACUGGUACUGAGACACGGACCAGACUCCUACGGGAGGCAGCAGUGAGGAAUAUCGCGCAAUGGAGGCAACUCUGACGCAGCCAUGCCGCGUGCAGGAAGAAGGCGCUACGCGUUGUAAACUGCUUUUAACCGGGAAGAAACCCCAGGACGUGUCCUGGGUUGACGGUACCGGAGGAAUAAGCACCGGCUAACUUCGUGCCAGCAGCCGCGGUAAAGUAGUCGUG